rnacentral:rRNA from 1 species
AUUGAACGCUAGCGGGAUGCCUUACACAUGCAAGUCGAACGGAGUGGCGAACGGGUGAGUAAUGUAUCGGAACGUGCCCAGUAGCGGGGGAUAACUACGCGAAAGCGUAGCUAAUACCGCAUACUAUUGGAGCGGCCGAUGUCGGAUUAGAUGGUUGGGGGGGUAACGGGUCACCACGGAGAAGAUCCGUAGCUGGUUUGAGAGGACGACCAGCCACACUGGGAUGUGGACACGGCCCAGACUCCUACGGGAGGCAGCAGUGGGGAAUUGUGGACAAUGGGGGAAACCCUGAUCCAGCCAGCCCGCGUGGGCGAUGAAGGCCUUCGGGUUGUAAAGCACUUUUGGCAGGAAAGCGGUACCUGCAGAAUAAGCACCGGCUAACUACGUGCCAGCCGCCGCGGUAAUAC